rnacentral:rRNA from 1 species
GAUGAACGCUGGCGGCGUGCUUAACACAUGCAAGUCGAACGAAACACCUUAUUUGAUUUUCUUCGGAACUGAAGAUUUGGUGAUUGAGUGGCGGACGGGUGAGUAACGCGUGGGUAACCUGCCCUGUACAGGGGGAUAACAGUCAGAAACGGCUGCUAAUACCGCAUAAGACCACAGCACCGCAUGGUGCAGGGGUAAAAACUCCGGUGGUACAGGAUGGACCCGCGUUUGAUUAGCUGGUUGGUGAGGUAACGGCUCACCAAGGCGACGAUCAGUAGCCGGCUUGAGAGGGUGAACGGCCACAUUGGGACUGAGACACGGCCCAAACUCCUACGGGAGGCAGCAGUGGGGAAUAUUGCACAAUGGGGGAAACCCUGAUGCAGCGACGCCGCGUGAGUGAAGAAGUAUUUCGGUAUGUAAAGCUCUAUCAGCAGGGAAGAAAAUGACG